rnacentral:rRNA from 1 species
GACGAACGCUGGCGGCGUGCCUAAUACAUGCAAGUAGAACGCUGAAGGAGGAGCUUGCUCUUCUGGAUGAGUUGCGAACGGGUGAGUAACGCGUAGGUAACCUGCCUGGUAGCGGGGGAUAACUAUUGGAAACGAUAGCUAAUACCGCAUAACAGUAGAUGUUGCAUGACAUUUGCUUAAAAGGUGCAAUUGCACCACUACCAGAUGGACCUGCGUUGUAUUAGCUAGUUGGUGGGGUAACGGCUCACCAAGGCGACGAUACAUAGCCGACCUGAGAGGGUGAUCGGCCACACUGGGACGGAGACACGGCCCAGACUCCUACGGGAGGCAGCAGUAGGGAAUCUUCGGCAAUGGACGGAAGUCUGACCGAGCAACGCCGCGUGAGUGAAGAAGGUUUUCGGAUCGUAAAGCUCUGUUGUAAGAGAAGAACGAGUGUGAGAGUGGAAAGUUCACACUGUGACGGUAUCUUACCAGAAAGGGACGGCUAACUACGUG